rnacentral:siRNA from 1 species
AGGCUUUUAAGAUCCGGUUGUGGU